rnacentral:rRNA from 1 species
UACGUAGGGGGCGAGCGUUGUCCGGAGUUACUGGGCGUAAAGCGCACGCAGGCGGUGCUGCGCGUUUUGGGGUUACAGCUCCCGGCUCAACCGGGGAGAGCGCCUCGAAGACGGCAGCACUUGAGGGCCAGAGAGGGACACGGAACUCCGGGUGGAGUGGUGAAAUGCGUAGAUAUCCGGAAGAGCACCAAAGGCGAAGGCAGUGUCCUGACUGGUACCUGACGCUCAGGUGCGAAAGCUAGGGGAGCGAACGGG